rnacentral:lncRNA from 1 species
UAUAGAUUGCUUUUUCAGGGUUUUGCUUCCUAAUUUUCUCUUUUUUUUAAUCUCCUUUUGAAUAUGCAUUUCUUCCUCCCACAGUGCCUGCUGGCAAACAUCCAAGGAUUUUUUAUCAAAUGUUCUAGGGACUGAAUUACUCAUUUUAGGUUAUUUAAAUGAAAGAGAUGCAUAAUACGACUUCAUAUUCAAAUUUCAUGAAACCCUGCCCAUGAACUCUUUUAUCUACAUGCAUCUAUAUGCCCCUAAACCCCCAAUCACACUUCCCAUUAGCCUCCCUCUGGAAGGGGCUACAACUACAUGGAGUCCAUUUGACAUUAAACAAGCAAAAAGAUUUUUCUUUUUUGCCACAAUGAGUAGUUUCAAUAGGAUAUACUAUGCCUUCUUUCAUAAUUAAUGAGCAUUGUGAGCUAUGUCUCUAAAUUACACAGCUUCUGAUGCAAAGAAAAAUUAGUUUUGCUGUGGGGCUUUGUUACCUUUUAACAUAAUCAAUGAGUUGCAUAAACAGUUUAGAGAAAUUGAGGACUGUGUUUAAUGUCUUUGUAACGAAUCCAUUAGGGGGGUGGGGGGAAGAGGGAACGAGGAGAUAAUGGGAGAGAGAACUGCUUCAAAAAGCAGGUACACAGAGCAGUUUCAGUAGCAAUUAAUUGGUUUAAUGAAUGUUUAUUGAGCACCUACCGUGCCAGGCACCAUGCAGGAGGCUGAGAGAGAGCCAAGCCCACACGGUCUUGUCCUCAUGGGACUUUGUGGGGAGCCGACUUGAAGCCCAUACAAGGCAAAGUAGUGGUAAGUAGUUAGCACAGUGGCGGAGAACAGAAUGUCUUUUAGAAAAGGAAAGCCUAGAAAAGAACUCUAGAGAGGGUCAAGGACAAGUUUAAAAUCUCAGGAAACGUGUGUGCAUUUAGCUCUGUAGAGUUUGGGAAAAACUCAUUUAAUUAACGUAAAAUGAAAAUAUUAUUUACAAUACAUUUCCCUAGUCAUUGUUUAAAUUAAACCACUGAGAGAAGCAAAUGUUACUUUUUUAAAAAGGGAAAGUCAUGGACAAGGCUGAAUUAGUUGUUUCUGUCUGGUAAACAGAUGGUAAAAUAAUUUGAUAAUCACCCUUAAAUACAGGGUUAAUAACAAUGCAUUACAUACAGCAAAAAUAUAUUACUAUGUUUCCCAUAAUCCAAAUUUUCAGAAACUGUUCUCUGUAAGAAUGCCAACAUGAGUCUUUGCUUGAUCUCUAAGGUGAAGUGAUAAAUUGUUUAUCCUGAAUAGUUUCAAGAACGUGAAAAGGAGGACUGAACGCCCUAAGGAGUAGCAUCUCUCUUCUUGCAUCUUCUGCUUCUUUUGGGGGUGGAUGGCGCUGGUUUCCUAGUGACUAGAUGAUUUUCAUUCUUCCAAGUAUCGAUAGACACUUCCUUUUGGGCCAGAUCAAAGUCAGGGGUUCCAGAGUCAGUGUAUCAGAGAUGGGCCCCACAGCUCCAUAAUAAGCACCUACU